GACGUAGGGGGCGAGCGUUGUCCGGAUUUACUGGGCGUAAAGCGCGUGCAGGCGGCCCGUUCUGUCCCGUGUGAAAGCUCUCGGCUCAACCGGGAGAGGUCGCGGGAUACUGGCGGGCUUGAGGAAGGCAGAGGAUGGUGGAAUUCCCGGUGUAACGGUGAAAUGUGUAGAUAUCGGGAGGAACGCCAGUGGCGAAGGCGGCCAUCUGGGCCUUCUCUGACGCUGAGACGCGAAAGCUGGGGGAGCAAACGGG
rnacentral:rRNA from 1 species